UACAGAGGGGGCAAGCGUUGUUCGGAAUUACUGGGCGUAAAGCGUGCGCAGGCGGUUAUGUAAGACAGAUGUGAAAUCCCCGGGCUCAACCUGGGAACUGCAUUUGUGACUGCAUAGCUAGAGUACGGUAGAGGGGGAUGGAAUUCCGCGUGUAGCAGUGAAAUGCGUAGAUAUGCGGAGGAACACCGAUGGCGAAGGCAAUCCCCUGGACCUGUACUGACGCUCAUGCACGAAAGCGUGGGUAGCAAACAGG
rnacentral:rRNA from 1 species